rnacentral:rRNA from 1 species
CGGCAUCCCGGCAGCUACACAUGCAGUCGAGGGGUAUGCUUCUUCGGAAGCAGAGACCGGCGCACGGGUGCGUAACGCGUAUGCAAUCUGCCUUUCACAGAGGGAUAGCCCAGAGAAAUUUGGAUUAAUACCUCAUAGCAUAGCACAAUCGCAUGAUUGAGCUAUUAAAGUCACAACGGUGAAAGAUGAGCAUGCGUCCCAUUAGCUGGUUGGUAAGGUAACGGCUUACCAAGGCUACGAUGGGUAGGGGUCCUGAGAGGGAGAUCCCCCACACUGGUACUGAGACACGGACCAGACUCCUACGGGAGGCAGCAGUGAGGAAUAUUGGUCAAUGGGCGCAAGCCUGAACCAGCCAUGCCGCGUGCAGGAUGACGGUCCUAUGGAUUGUAAACUGCUUUUGUACGAGAAGAAACACUCCUUCGUGAAGGAGCUUGACGGUAUCGUAAGAAUAAGGAUCGGCUAACUCCGUGCCAGCAGCCGCGGUAAUACGGAGGAUCCAAGCGUUAUCCGGAAUCAUUGGGUUUAAAGGGUCCGUAGGCGGUCUGGUAAGUCAGUGGUGAAAGCCCAUCGCUCAACGGUGGAACGGCCAUUGAUACUGCUGGACUUGAAUUAUUAGGAAGUAACUAGAAUAUGUAGUGUAGCGGUGAAAUGCUUAGAGAUUACAUGGAAUACCAAUUGCGAAGGCAGGUUACUACUAAUGGAUUGACGCUGAUGGACGAAAGCGUGGGUAGCGAACAGGAUUAGAUACCCUGGUAGUCCACGCCGUAAACGAUGGAUACUAGCUGUUGGAAGCAAUUUCAGUGGCUAAGCGAAAGUGAUAAGUAUCCCACCUGGGGGAGUACGAACGCAAGUUUGAAACUCAAAGGAAUUGACGGGGGCCCGCACAAGCGGUGGAGCAUGUGGUUUAAUUCGAUGAUACGCGAGGAACCUUACCAAGGCUUAAAUGCAGACUGACCGAUUUGGAAACAGAUCUUUCGCAAGACAGUUUACAACGUGCUGCAUGGGUUGUCGUCAGCUCGUGCCGUGAGGUGUCAGGUUAAGUCCUAUAACGAGCGCAACCCCUGUUUGUUUAGUUGCCAGCGAGUAGUGUCGGGAAACCUCUA